AGUCGAACGGCAGCGCGGGAGCAAUCCUGGCGGCGAGUGGCGAACGGGUGAGUAAUACAUCGGAACAUGUCCAGUAGUGGGGGAUAGCCCGGCGAAAGCCGGAUUAAUACCGCAUACGAUCUACGGAUGAAAGCGGGGGAUCGCAAGACCUCGCGCUAUUGGGGUGGCCGAUGGCGGAUUAGCUAGUUGGUGGGGUAAAGGCCUACCAAGGCGACGAUCCGUAGCUGGUCUGAGAGGACGACCAGCCACACUGGGACUGAGACACGGCCCAGACUCCUACGGGAGGCAGCAGUGGGGAAUUUUGGACAAUGGGCGAAAGCCUGAUCCAGCAAUGCCGCGUGUGUGAAGAAGGCCUUCGGGUUGUAAAGCACUUUUGUCCGGAAAGAAAUCCUGAUGGCUAAUAUCCGUCGGGGAUGACGGUACCGGAAGAAUAAGCACCGGCUAACUACGUGCCAGCAGCCGCGGUAAUACGUAGGGUGCGAGCGUUAAUCGGAAUUACUGGGCGUAAAGCGUGCGCAGGCGGUGAUGUAAGACCGAUGUGAAAUCCCCGGGCUUAACCUGGGAACUGCAUUGGUGACUGCAUCGCUAGAGUAUGGCAGAGGGGGGUAGAAUUCCACGUGUAGCAGUGAAAUGCGUAGAGAUGUGGAGGAAUACCGAUGGCGAAGGCAGCCCCCUGGGCCAAUACUGACGCUCAUGCACGA
rnacentral:rRNA from 1 species